ACGAGGCAGCAGAUGCUGCAGAGACCAGCCUGUGUGGGAUACUCGUGGAUCAUAUUGCUUCCUGAUAUGCAGCCACAUCCCACCGCAGGCUGCUUGGACCUCAGAGGAGCUGGUAUCGCCUCCCACGGCUGUGGCUCCAGGUGUGUACUCUGGCCGUGUGCUGGCUCCAUCCGUGGGUGAGGCCUGGGUGUUUGCAGCCAGUCUACUUUCAGGUGUGAUGGGGAAAUGGGAGCAUUGCUGCCUCACGCGUGCUGCAAAGAAGACACAAGUAAUACACUGGGACGCACAAUGAGGAAAAGGAUCACAGCCAGGUCUGUGUGGAAGAGAACCUCGUGUGUCAGGAACAGGGGCACCUCGCACAGGCGAUGGAAAACCUUCAUGGGGACUGCCUGAACACUUUCAUUUGCUUGAAUUUAGACUCUAGAAUUAGUACCGCAGUAUGAACCCACUGCUAUUACACUGCAAAGCGAUUUCUCAGAACUCCUGUAGCUGAAGGAAAGUAAUAUAUAGCACAAAUAAUAAUUAAAACAAACUAUAAGUAAUUAAAGUCAUUAGAACAGUCAUUGUCAUGAAGAACUGUUCCAAGCAGCACCAGACGUACCUAGGUCCUUUGCUUCAAUGGGCAGAGAGGGUUUUGUUUCUCCAUGUCCUGUUGCCCCUAU